rnacentral:rRNA from 1 species
AUUGAACGCUGGCGGCAGGCCUAACACAUGCAAGUAGAACGAGUGGCGGACGGGUGAGUAAUGUCUGGGAAACUGCCUGAUGGAGGGGGAUAACUACUGGAAACGGUAGCUAAUACCGCAUACCAUCAGAUGUGCCCAGAUGGGAUUAGCUAGUUGGUGGGGUAACGGGUAACCAAGGCGACGAUCCCUAGCCGGUCUGAGAGGAUGACCAGCCACACUGGAACUGAGACACAGGCCAGACUCCGACGUGAGGCAGCAGGUGGGAAUAUUGCACAAUGGGCGCAAGCCUGAUGCAGCCAUGCCGCGUGUAUGAAGAAGGCCUUCGGGUUGUAAAGUACUUUCAGCGUGGAGGCGUUACCCGCAGAAGAAGCACCGGCUAACUCCGUGCCAGCCGCCGCGGUAAUUC